AUAUUUGCGCUUGGGGCAAUGACGCAGUUAGUGAGAUGAAACGAGACAAGUCAAUUGCUGGUUGAAAACUAUUUCCAAACUAGCCUCACAUGUAUAUAGUUGACUUAAGAUGUACAUUAGGUGGAUUAGCUGCGCAGCU
rnacentral:snRNA from 1 species